AGGGAGACCUACCCAACUUUGAAAUCGAGGACACACAGUUAAUAGAUACAAAGAUGGUCAUUCCUAGGUCGGUCGCAGGGACUUGUUGAAGCUUUCAAACUAUGAUUUGGUUCGUUUAUGGGCUAUUAGCUCAGGUGGUUAGAGCGCACCCCUGAUAAGGGUGAGGUCCCUGGUUCGAGUCCAGGAUGGCCCACCUGAAUCAAUGCAAAAUUAAAAAUUCAAAAUUCAAAAUUAAGAAAUUGUUUUUGAAUUUUGCAUUUAGAAUUUUGAAUUGUGUUGGGGGGUUUAGCUCAGUUGGUAGAGCGCCUGCUUUGCAAGCAGGAUGUCAGCGGUUCGAGUCCGCUAACCUCCACCUUGAUAGCGUUAGCUAUAAAAAGAAUGGAUUAGAUUCAGCAACAAGGCUGUGAGCCAGACUGCUGGGUUAGUUAUCCAGCCAGAACCUUGAAAACUGCAUAGGAAUGCGAAGCAGGCAGACACAGACAUUGAUUAUUGGAAGUGUUUGCAAUGAAUAGUGGUCAAGCUAAUAAGAGCUGACGGUGGAUACCUAGGCACACAGAGGCGAAG
rnacentral:misc_RNA from 1 species